rnacentral:rRNA from 1 species
UGGGGAAUAUUGGACAAUGGGCGCAAGCCUGAUCCAGCCACGCCGCGUGAGUGAUGAAGGCCUUCGGGUCGUAAAGCUCUGUGGGAGGGACGAACCGCUGCACGUUCAUAGCGUGCAGCAUGACGGUACCUCCUUAGCAAGCACCGGCUAACUUCGUGCCAGCAGCCGCGGUAAUACGAAGGGUGCAAACGUUGCUCGGAAUUAUUGGGCGUAAAGCGCACGUAGGCGGCUUGACAAGUCGGAUGUGAAAUCCCUCGGCUCAACCAAGGAAGUGCAUCCGAAACUGCCGAGCUUGAGUACGAAAGAGGAUCGCGGAAUUCCCGGUGUAGAGGUGAAAUUCGUAGAUAUCGGGAGGAACACCAGUGGCGAAGGCGGCGAUCUGGGUCGAUACUGACGCUGAGGUGCGAAAGCGUGGGGAGCAAACA